CACGUAGGGUGCGAGCGUUGUCCGGAAUUAUUGGGCGUAAAGAGCUCGUAGGCGGUCUGUCGCGUCGAUCGUGAAAACUUGGGGCUUAACCCUGAGCUUGCGGUCGAUACGGGCAUGACUGGAGUUCGGCAGGGGAGACUGGAAUUCCUGGUGUAGCGGUGAAAUGCGCAGAUAUCAAGAGGAACACCAGUGGCGAAGGCGAGUCCCCGUGGA
rnacentral:rRNA from 1 species